rnacentral:rRNA from 1 species
CUAUUAUGGAGAGUUUGAUCCUGGCUCAGGACGAACGCUGGCGGCAUGCCUAAUACAUGCAAGUCGAGCGAAUGACGAAGAAGCUUGCUUCUUCUGAUUUAGCGGCGGACGGGUGAGUAACACGUGGGCAACCUGCCCUGUAGAUUGGGAUAACUCCGGGAAACCGGGGCUAAUACCGAAUAAUCCAUUUCCUC